GCCCUAGAUGUAAAGAUUUGAAUAUUCAGGUAGAUUUGAGGCUAUCCUGGGGCUU
rnacentral:sRNA from 26 species